GUAUAUUUAUUGCGUAACCGCGGCCCAAUAAAUCCAAUAAUACCCGCGAGAUUAUAUACAUAGACGAACGAGGAGGAUAUUGCCGCGCGGCCUCCGGGCGCCAAACGAUCUUUUCGCCGUCAAAAUUAUUUAAUAUUGACUGUACCCGCCUGUACCUGCCUAUUAUUUAAUUAUAAUAUACCUAUAAGCGCGUGUUUCGACUUCUAACGCCGCGCGCGUUAUUACACUUCCGUAGUCCGUGUGUAUGUACACCUACCUGCCUACUGUUACAAUAGCAGUUGUCGACGAUGCCGAUCGAAAGCGAAACAAACGCAUCGUUUUUGUGAAUCUUUCGAAUUUCGCACUGCGAUCGGUUAUUUCACAUCUUCUCGAACAACGGCCCACGCGAAACCCGCGUACACGUACGUACCGAUCACAUUGUACCUGUACCGACAUUUUCAUUGUCCUCGUUUUAGUCGCACGACUCGUGUGACGUCUGAGCGCGAGACCGCGUAUUUUAAUUUUCCGACGGCCGUUGCCCAUAUCACCGUUUUUAAUGUGUGCGUAUCAAAAACGACUCGAAAACUAUAAAAACUCUUAAAUUUAAAACUAAAAAAAAAAAAAAUUGUAGACGAAUUUUUAUUAGUAAAUACGAUAAUCACAAUAUCACGAUCAAUUAUUCUCGUUUACACGUGACGACACAAUUUGUCUAUAAAAUGUGCAGUGUUAUUCUUUAUUAUCAUCGUAUUUAUAGACGUAUGUACGCACGCCCAUCAUGCCGACCUGCAGUGCGUUUCGGGCGUUGGCCUAUGCCGCCCCCUUAACGUCGCGGCCGCCGUUCGCAAUCACUUAAUAAUUUCCAUUACACUUGCUUACUUUUUUUUACUAACCAAAAGUCAAUAUUGAAUGGGCGAGCUAAAUAUGUACAUUAUUUAUACACAUACACAUACGCUACGCUCUUUGUUGUUAUAAUAAUAGUUUGUCUACACACGGGUAUUAUCAUAACACUUUUAAUUUUAUAAUACGCGC